GACUGGUUGGCGCAAUUGGUAGCGCGUUGGAUUCCAAAACCUGCACCAUGUCUCUUGCUUGUUGUGACUAAAUCGGGUAUGGAUGGUAUCCAAAGGUUGGGUGUUCGAGUCACUCAUCGGUCA